rnacentral:rRNA from 1 species
CCUACGGGUGGCAGCAGUGAGGAAUAUUGGUCAAUGGACGAGAGUCUGAACCAGCCACGUAGCGUGAAGGGUGACUGCCCUAUGGGUUUUAAACUUCUUUUAUAUGGGAAUAAAAUGUUCCACGUGUGGGAUUUUGUAUGUACCAUAUGAAUAAGGAUCGGCUAACUCCGUGCCAGCAGCCGCGGUAAUACGGAGGAUCCGGGCGUUAUCCGGAUUUCUUGGGGUUAAAGGGAGCGUAGGUGGAUUGUUAAGUCAUUUGUGAAAGUUUGCGGCUCAACCGUAAAAUUGCAGUUGAAACUGGCAGUCUUGAGUACAGUAGAGGUGGGCGGAAUUCGUGGGGUAGCGGUGAAAUGCUUAGAUAUCACGAAGAACUCCGAUUGCGAAGGCAGCUCACUGGACUGCAACUGACACUGAGGCUCGAAAGUGUGGGUAUCAAACAGGAUUAGAUACCCUUGUAGUC